rnacentral:misc_RNA from 1 species
AACUUUUAGCAACGGAUCACUUGGCUCUCGCAUCGAUGAAGAACGCAGCGAAAUGCGAUAAGUAGUGUGAAUUGCAGAAUUCAGUGAAUCAUCGAAUCUUUGAACGCACAUUGCGCCCUUCGGUAUUCCGUUGGGCAUGCCUGUUCGAGCGUCAUUUAAAACUUCAAGCUCUGCUUGGUGUUGGGUGUUUGUUCCGCCUCUGUGCGUGGACUCGCCUUAAAUUCAUUGGCAGCCGGUAUGUUGACUUCGUGCGCAGCACAUUGCAAACGAUUCAAUCGUACCCCCUCCCAUGAAGCCCCCAUUUUUAAUUUAACCUCGGAUCAGGUAGGGAUACCCGCUGAACUUAAGCAUAUCAAUAAGCGGAGGCU